CCUUGUACACACCGCCCGUCACACCAUGGAAGCAAGCAACACCCGAAGCCGGUGGCCUAACCCUCUGGGAGGGAGCCGUCGAAGGUGGGGCUCGUGACUGGGGUG
rnacentral:rRNA from 1 species